rnacentral:rRNA from 1 species
CCUACGGGUGGCAGCAGUGGGGAAUAUUGGGCAAUGGGCGCAAGCCUGACCCAGCAACGCCGCGUGAAGGAAGAAGGCUUUCGGGUUGUAAACUUCUUUUCUGAGGGACGAAGAAAGUGACGGUACCUCAGGAAUAAGGCACGGCUAACUACGUGACGGCAGCCGCGGUAAUACGUAGGUGGCAAGCGUUAUCCGGAUUUAGUGGGUGGAAAGGGCGAGUAGGCGGGAAAGCAAUUUAGAUGUGAAAACUCAGGGCUCAACCCGGAGCCUGCAUUUGAAAAUGUUUUUAUUGAGUUCUGGAGAGGCAAUCGGAAGUCCGUGUGUAGCGGUGAAAUGCGUAGAUAUACGGAGGAACACCAGUGGCGAAGGCGGAUUGCUGGACAGUAACUGACGCUGAGGCGCGAAAGCGUGGGGAGCAAACAGGAUUAGAUACCCGGGUAGUC